GAUGAACGCUGGCGGCGUGCCUAAUACAUGCAAGUCGAGCGAACAGACGAGGAGCUUGCUCCUCUGACGUUAGCGGCGGACGGGUGAGUAACACGUGGAUAACCUACCUAUAAGACUGGGAUAACUUCGUGAAACCGGAGCUAAUACCGGAUAAUAUAUUGAACCGCAUGGUUCAAUAGUGAAAGACGUUUUUUCUGUCACUUAUAGAUUGAUCCGCGCCGCAUUAGCUAGUUGGUAAGGUAACGUCUUACCAAGGCAACGAUUCGUAGCCGACCUGAGAGGGUGAUAGGCAACACUGGAACUGAGAAACGGACCAGACGCCUACGGGAGGCAGCAGUAGGGAAUAUUCCGCAAUGGGCGAAAGCCUGACGGAGCAACGCCGCGUGAGUGAUGAAGGUCUUCGGAUCGUAAAACUCUGUUAUUAGGGAAGAACAAAUGUGUAAGUAACUAUGCACGUAUUGACGGUACCUAAUCAGAAAGCCACGGCUAACUACGUG
rnacentral:rRNA from 1 species